CAGUCAGAAAAAAAAAAAAAAGCUUUACUGAGAGAAAAUACACAACAAAUUCCAGAGUGCACGGUUUUCAGCCCACUCCAUCACCCCACCAGCAAGAAGAACACAGACCACUCAGUCACCACACAUUCCCCACUUCAGGGAGGAAGUGCAGCAGCUAACAUUUGGUCUGAGUGCUGCUAGGAAAAAGGGGCAGGAGGAAGGAGUAUCUGGGAAUUCCAUCCUUUCACUCUUCCCUUCCUUCCUGUCCUGUUCUAGUAGAAUCUGACCGUCCCAGGAUGCAGAAUUCCUGGUGGGGGGCAAAGAAAUAGCAGCAAAAGCAUUUAAGGGCAAGAAUUCAACUGGGACUUUCAUAUUCAGUGACCAGUGAUACGACAGGUGUCUGAGCCCCAGCCACCUUAAUCAUUCCUUCAAUCCCAAAAGAGGUGGAUAAGGUAUACAGUCAAACCCAGGAGGUCUCUCCCUGUGCUCUUCCAUGAGGAAGGGAGCUGGUGUGGAGUGGGAUGGCUUAAAGAAUCAAGCAGCUAAAGGUAAGACUGUGUUUUCUGUUACACACAGUACUAGGAGAGAUGGCCUGCAGUGGCAGACCUCUUCCUGAAGCCACAGUUCAGUCAAGUUUUAAAGAUGGGCCAUCAUAGAGAAUAUAUAGUAUUUAAACUUUGACAAUAAUUUUAAUGUGAUACAUCCAAUUUUAACUUGCUUUUUAAUAUAUUUAUAGAUAUAAAAGUAGGCCUCUAACAGUGAUAGGGACAGGGAGAUUGCUGCCACCAAACAAACUUUUUUUUUUUUUAAAGUAACAAAAGAGGUAACAUCCUUCCUAUUCUUCCACUUCUACCCCUCCUCCCACCUCCCCCCAACCUCCCUCACCAGACCUAGUGAGGGAAUGACAGGAUGAAGAGAAGAGAGUGAAGGAUACAUAAUCAAGUGCAAAACACUGUGAUAAUAAGUACAGAGAAUGAAUGAGGUGGAAAACAAAGUGAAAAGUGUGGGAUGGUUAGGGGCUCUAAGGACCUCCCAGAGAAACAGGAUCCUGGGAUAGGGCUGCUCAAGGGGAAGAAAAAACAAUGCAACU
rnacentral:lncRNA from 1 species